UGGGGAAUUUUGGACAAUGGACGCAAGUCUGAUCCAGCCAUUCCGCGUGCAGGACGAAGGCCUUCGGGUUGUAAACUGCUUUUGUACGGAACGAAAAAGCUCUUAUUAAUACUAGGAGUCCAUGACGGUACCGUAAGAAUAAGCACCGGCUAACUACGUGCCAGCAGCCGCGGUAAUACGUAGGGUGCAAGCGUUAAUCGGAAUUACUGGGCGUAAAGCGUGCGCAGGCGGUUAUAUAAGACAGAUGUGAAAUCCCCGAGCUUAACUUGGGAACUGCAUUUGUGACUGUAUAGCUAGAGUACGGCAGAGGGGGAUGGAAUUCCGCGUGUAGCAGUGAAAUGCGUAGAUAUGCGGAGGAACACCGAUGGCGAAGGCAAUCCCCUGGGCCUGUACUGACGCUCAUGCACGAAAGCGUGGGGAGCAAACAGG
rnacentral:rRNA from 2 species